UCACUCCAGAGUCCCACACAGUCAAGGAGCCGUGCGCGCUGCUGCAAAGACGCACUGCUGCAACGCGGGCUCUGUAUGGCACAACAAGGACAACUUUCUCCCUUGUGGUUUUCUGAGAGGAUCUGUUCGUUUGGAUUAUAUUCUCAUAGGACUGUCACAUAGACACAAAAACAGCCGUGCGUCUUGAUUCCAACAUAAGAAGCAGAGCUGUGGUUCUUGUUUGAUCUCCAUGUGAACUGGGCUGAGGUUUGAAGCCCUUUUUCUGUCAGAGGGUAAAGGACAAGUGCAAUGCGCGUCGGACUCGUCUCUUGGGAUUGUCCCGCUUGCGCCUAAGGAGCUAUGUGGACCUGCGGAGCAGAGCUCGUUCCACAGGACGCACGGCCAAUGUGAAUAACAAGCGUCAACUUCCAGCCUCCUCAGCUUUUCACACCCACGAGCCAAGUGCAGCCCGGAGUUUGACCGAGCCCGCCGAGUAGCUCUGACACCCCGGCUUCUCUCCCAUGAGGGGAUGGUUGUGGAUCCUCUGGGGCCAGGAGCGACUCUGCGGCUCCUUCAGAACAGCGCGUUUUUCUUGUUUGGGGUUCAUUCUAAAUUAAAGGGAGAUGAGAGCCGCACUUUGCCACCUCCUGCUGUGGACGGCGUACCUGCUGCUGGCCACCGCUGAGAAGGAAGUGCAGUUUCCCCAGGAGCUGAUAGACAGACUGUCCCACAGUGAAAUCCACAGCAUCAGCGACCUCCAGCGGCUACUGGACAUUGACUCCGUAGGUACGGGAAAUGAUGUUAUCGAGGAGCCCAAGCACCACAAACACCACAACCACCAUAAGAACUUCUCCCGUCACCCUGGUCACUACAAUGACCUGAAGAGCUCCCAGCUCCACAGCCGACGCAAGAGGAGUAUUGUAGAGGAGGCGGUCCCAGCGGUGUGUAAGACGCGGACGGUGAUCUACGAGAUCCCCAGGAGCCAGGUGGAUCCCACGUCUGCCAACUUCCUGAUUUGGCCGCCCUGUGUGGAGGUGAAACGCUGCACGGGCUGCUGCAACACCAGCAACAUGCGCUGUCACCCUUCUCGCAAGCACCACCGCACUGUCAAGGUGGCCAAGGUGGAGUAUGUGAGGAGGAGACCCAAGCUGAAAGAGGUCUUUGUGCGGUUAGAAGAUCACCUGGAGUGUGUGUGCACGUCACAACAUCAUGUGGUGGAGCACUCAGAAGCAGAAACAGGCCACCGUAGGGCUAAAGGUAAAAAAAGGAAACCUAAAAAGCUAAGGCCCAGCAAGGAUUUAUUGGCGACAUAAUAAAGUUGCACUCAUUACCCAAAGUCCACUGGAGAGCUGUGAAGGGAACAGUGGACGUGAGGUGAGACCAAUCAGAACAAGGGACUUCAGUGUGGGAGGAACCUAAUAAGAGGACGUCAACAAACAGGAGACCUGCUCGGUCCUCUUCCCCACUGCCGUGCAACCUCCGUCUUACAAAGACAAAUAAUUCUGUAAAAAUGAGCGACAGAAAAAUAGACAACAGACAAAAAUACAUAAGAUGCCAAAGGUGCUUUUUUUAUAUUAAAAAAAAACAGUGAUUAUGGAUGAUGUCUUCCUCUGUGGUGCGCCACCUAUACCCAGACAACUGAACCCUGCCAAUGAUUAAGAAGAAAAGAAAAGAAAUAUGCUGUGGAGCUCGGGCAGAAAGAGGCCGAAGGGAGAUGAUGAAAGGGAUUUGUGUUGAACAUUUUGACCGACGUUGUUUGAACAAGAUGUGCAACAGAAAUGGCCAUAAAACAGUUGUAUCAGGCUUUCGUGGGAAUCUGGUGCUCAGACUCAAAAACAGCAGUGGAUGUCCUCCAGCUGGGCGACAUAAAAUUGCCCUGCCCUGUUUAAAUGACUCUUGCAUACACAGGAA